UACGUAGGGGGCAAGCGUUGUCCGGAAUCAUUGGGCGUAAAGAGCGUGUAGGCGGCCCGAUAAGUCCGCUGUGAAAGUCGAGGGCUCAACCCUCGAAUGCCGGCGGAUACUGUCGGGCUAGAGUCCGGAAGAGGCGAGUGGAAUUCCUGGUGUAGCGGUGAAAUGCGCAGAUAUCAGGAGGAACACCAACGGCGAAGGCAGCUCGCUGGGACGGUACUGACGCUGAGACGCGAAAGCGUGGGGAGCAAACAGG
rnacentral:rRNA from 1 species